CCUACGGGAGGCAGCAGUGGGGAAUAUUGCACAAUGGGGGAAACCCUGAUGCAGCGACGCCGCGUGAGUGAAGAAGGAUCUCGGUACGUAAAGCUCUAUCAGUAGGGAAGAAAAUGACGGUACCUGACUAAGAAGCCCCGGCUAACUACGUGGCAGCAGCCGCGGUAAUACGUAGGGGGCAAGCGUUAUCCGGAUUUACUGGGUGGAAAGGGAGCGUAGACGGGAGCACAAGUCUGGAGUGAAAUCCCCGGGCUUAACCCCGGAACUGCUUUGGAAACUGUGCGGCUGGAGUGCAGGAGGGGUAAGCGGAAUUCCUAGUGUAGCGGUGAAAUGCGUAGAUAUUAGGAGGAACACCGGUGGCGAAGGCAGCUUACUGGACUUUAACUGACGUUGAGGCUCGAAAGCGUGGGGAGCGAACAGGAUUAGAUACCCUUGUAGUC
rnacentral:rRNA from 1 species